CAGAAGUCUGAAUUCUGGAGUCAUUACAGCGUGGAAUGCAGUGAAAUCAAAGUGCAAAGGCAAGGCAGUAAUAGUGGAGAGAGGACUGGUGGAGAAUGUUGUGCUGGUUAGAGACAUGAAACUCUUUGUCCCUACUGACAAAGGGAUGGCUUCCUUUACAGAGGCUUCAAGACUAAUUUUUCAGACCCUGUUGACUUAUGACUGUCUGAAAAAGAAGUAUAUAAACAAAAAGACAGGCUGUUACAUUAUUUCUUGCCAAAAUAAUGAGUACAAGAUUCUUGAGGGAGGUCUGUUAUUCGGCAUCUCCGAGAAUAGAAGCUCCUGCACCUCACAGAAUAACUGUUCUCCAGCAUGCAGGAGGAACUGGGAGAAGUAGGGAUGGGGCGCACUAAGAGGAGGGGGCAAAAUCAUGUCUGGGGCCACAUCUGGAUCAUGUGAGAAGCCCUAGCCCUGCUCCUCCCAUCAAUCCUGUUAUUUUAGUACUUCAGAGGCCCUGGGAAAGACGUAAUGAAAGUAAGACUGCAAAGAAAAGGAGGCUGGAGAAGCUACAGCAACUUGCUAAUGAGAAGUACAAUGCUAUUAAUCAGUACCUGCUCAGUGGAGAUGAAAAGGAAUGCUGAGAGUCUACACUGUAGACCGCAAUCUGCUAAACAUGUUCAUAGGUAACUGUACGCACAUGAAUUGUUCCGUUGCGGUUAGG